UACGUAGGGGGCGAGCGUUGUCCGGAAUCACUGGGCGUAAAGGGCGCGUAGGCGGUUUAAUAAGUCAGUGGUGAAAACUGAGGGCUCAACCCUCAGCCUGCCACUGAUACUGUUAGACUUGAGUAUGGAAGAGGAGAAUGGAAUUCCUAGUGUAGCGGUGAAAUGCGUAGAUAUUAGGAGGAACACCAGUGGCGAAGGCGAUUCUCUGGGCCAAGACUGACGCUGAGGCGCGAAAGCGUGGGGAGCAAACAGG
rnacentral:rRNA from 1 species